rnacentral:ncRNA from 2 species
CCUUUCGAGGAGCGUUGCAGCGUCCACCCCAAGUCAGCGGUGGCGUGAGGCUCGGAAGGGCAGCAGGGCCGCUUCAGGCGGCGCUCGCUUCUUGGCAACGACGCUCACCCACG